AUACGCAACUUAAAGUGUUUGCCAUAUUGGUUCAUUACAAACAUUGAAAUUAUUUCUAGAACAAAACUGGACGACACUUUCAGUUUUGUAAUUUCAUUUUGUUGAAAUAACUUAAAUGAUUUUGCUACAUUGAACUCACGCCACUGCAAAAUUUAGGUCCAAAAACACAAAACAUCCUUAACUAUUUUCGUUUUUAUAUUGAAAGACAUAAAAUAUUUCAGAUGAUGCAUUCUUCUUCAUGUAAGACAGUGAACCCU